rnacentral:rRNA from 1 species
GACGAACGCUGGCGGCGUGCUUAACACAUGCAAGUCGAGCGAUGAAGCUCCUUCGGGAGUGGAUUAGCGGCGGACGGGUGAGUAACACGUGGGUAACCUGCCUCAUAGAGGGGAAUAGCCUUCCGAAAGGAAGAUUAAUACCGCAUAAGAUUGUAGUACCGCAUGGUACAGCAAUUAAAGGAGCAAUCCGCUAUGAGAUGGACCCGCGUCGCAUUAGCUAGUUGGUGAGGUAACGGCUCACGAAGGCGACGAUGCGUAGCCGAGCUGAGAGGGUGCUAGGUCAGAUUGGGACGAGUACACGGCCCAGGCGCGUACGGGAGGCAGGAGUGGGGAAUCUUACACUAUGGGGGCAACCCUGAUGGAGCAACCCCGGGUGAGGGAUUACGGUCUUCGGAUUGAACAACCCGGUCGUCAGGGACGAGAAUGAGGGAGCCUGGGGAGAACGCCACGCCUAACUAGAUGCCAGCCGCCGGGGUGA